rnacentral:tRNA from 1 species
GGAGGUAUAGUUCAGUGGCAGAACGCAUGCUUAGUAUGCACAAGGUCCUGGGUUCAAUCCCCAAUAUCUCCA